rnacentral:SRP_RNA from 1 species
UCCCAGCUACUCGGGAGGCUGAGGUGGGAGGAUCGCUUGAGUCCAGGAGUUCUGGGCUGUAGUGCGCUAUGCCGAUCGGGUGUCCGCACUAAGUUCGGCAUCAAUAUGGUGACCUCCCGGGAGCGGGGGGCCACCAGGUUGCCUAAGGAGGGGUGAACCGGCCCAGGUCGGAAACGGAGCAGGUCAAAACUCCCGUGCUGAUCAGUAGUGGGAUCGCGCCUGUGAAUAGCCACUGCACUCCAGCCUGGGCAACAUA